CGCCCUUUUCGUAAUAGAUCAUGUUAAAAAGCAUGUGACUUUUAUCGAUUUUACACCGACUCAAGAUUGGUGUAAACACAUGUCAUACAAGAGGUUCGCGGAAGCGAUUAUCAUGACCUCAAAAAAAUAUAAGAUUGCUUACAGCAAGAAACGUUCUGGAUGGGCGGAGGAUAUCUUUAAGUGGGAACAUACAAUUCAGACUGGUGUUCCAAUUGACUUAAGAGGGUUUAAUACCAGCUACCUCGUUCUACAAGCUAUGGCCAUGUGGGGGAAUGACAGACGACUGAAAUUUGUUGGGGAUGCAAAGACUCUUCGAAGGAACUUUGUGAUUGAUCUUUUAAGUUAUGAGGACAAUUCGUGCCGAUAUGCUAUCCCUGCAAACAUACAACAAAGACUUAUCGAUAUCGCUAAAAAAGAUUAGCUGAUUAGUGAACAGUUGUCGACACAUUUGUGAACACAUUUAUCCAAAACAUUAC
rnacentral:misc_RNA from 1 species